UGGGGAAUAUUGGACAAUGGGCGCAAGCCUGAUCCAGCCAUGCCGCGUGAGUGAUGAAGGCCCUAGGGUUGUAAAGCUCUUUUGGCGGGGAAGAUAAUGACGGUAACCGUAGAAGAAGCCCCGGCUAACUUCGUGCCAGCAGCCGCGGUAAUACGAAGGGGGCUAGCGUUGUUCGGAAUUACUGGGCGUAAAGCGCACGUAGGCGGAUGUUUAAGUCAGGGGUGAAAUCCCGAGGCUCAACCUCGGAACUGCCUUUGAUACUGGGUAUCUCGAGUCCGGAAGAGGUGAGUGGAAUUCCGAGUGUAGAGGUGAAAUUCGUAGAUAUUCGGAGGAACACCAGUGGCGAAGGCGGCUCACUGGUCCGGUACUGACGCUGAGGUGCGAAAGCGUGGGGAGCAAACA
rnacentral:rRNA from 1 species